AGAGAGAGACAUGCGCGCAUAUCAAUAAGCGGAGGAAAAGAAACUAACAAGGAUUCCCCUAGUAACGGCGAGUGAAGCGGGAAGAGCUCAAAUUUGAAAUCUUAAAGGGUUUCCCUUUACGAAUUGUAGUUUAAAGAAGUGUUUUCUGUUGGAGUUUUCGGUAAAAGUUCUUUGGAAUAGGACAUCAUAGAGGGUGAGAAUCCCGUAUUUGACCUUUACUUUCAACUUUGUGAUACACUUUCAAAGAGUCGGAUUGUUUGGGAAUGCAGUCCAAAAUGGGUGGUAAAUUUCAUCUAAAGCUAAAUAUUGGCGAGAGACCGAUAGCGAACAAGUACCGUGAGGGAAAGAUGAAAAGAACUUUGAAAAGAGAGUUAAACAGUACGUGAAAUUGUCAAAAGGGAAGCGUUUGACACCAGUGUUGUUUUUCUGAAAAUCAAUUAAAGAACUGUUUAUGCUAAGUUGUUUAGACUUUAUCAGCUAUCUGUUUAGUUUUGAGCUUUUCUUUAAUGCACUUUUCAGUUAACAAGUCAACAUCAAUUUCUUUUGCUGUAAAAAAGCUUGAGGAAGGUGGCUUGAGAUUCGUCUUAAGUGUUUAUAGCCUCUUGCCUAUGCAGUCGGAGAGAUUGAGGUCUGCAGCGUAGAUCCUUCGGGGCUAAAUGCAUUUGUGCUAAGUUAUAGCAUUUUAUAGACAACUUGUUGACUAUGAUUUGUCUUGUAGCUUACUCGCUUAUGUUAUUUUACCUACGCUUAGGAUGUUGACGCAUGAGAUAUACGC
rnacentral:rRNA from 1 species